UACGUAGGUGGCAAGCGUUGUCCGGAUUUACUGGGCGUAAAGAGCGCGCAGGCGGUCGUGCAAGUCGCGUGUGAAAGCCCCCGGCUCAACUGGGGAGGGUCACGCGAUACUGCUCGACUCGAAGGCAGGAGAGGGAAGUGGAAUUCCCGGUGUAGUGGUGAAAUGCGUAGGUAUCGGGAGGAACACCAGUGGCGAAGGCGACUUCCUGGCCUGUUCUUGACGCUGAGGCGCGAAAGCUAGGGUAGCAAACGGG
rnacentral:rRNA from 1 species